rnacentral:rRNA from 1 species
UACAGAGGUCUCAAGCGUUGUUCGGAUUCAUUGGGCGUAAAGGGCGCGUAGGCGGCGGGGUAAGUCGGGUGUGAAAUCUCAGAGCUCAACUCUGAAACUGCACUCGAUACUGCUCUGCUUGAGGACUGGAGAGGAGACUGGAAUUCCUGGUGUAGCGGUGAAAUGCGCAGAUAUCAGGAGGAACACCGGUGGCGAAGGCGGGUCUCUGGGCCGAUACUGACGCUGAGGAGCGAAAGCGUGGGGAGCGAACAGG